CAGGGAGACAACAAAAUGUUUAAUAUUAUUAUUUUGUCACCUUAGGUCGAUCGGUAUCUCACGUUUUUAAUUUAUUAAGAAUUUCAUUUCCUAAGUUUUUCUAGGUCACACCCAUUAUUUUUCCCGGGCCAUUAGCUCAGGUGGUUAGAGCGCACCCCUGAUAAGGGUGAGGUCCCUGGUUCAAGUCCAGGAUGGCCCAUUCGGUGUUGGGGGUUUAGCUCAGUUGGUAGAGCGCCUGCUUUGCAAGCAGGAUGUCAGGAGUUCGAGUCUCCUAACCUCCACUGACCGAACUUGAUUCCCAUCUCCAAUUCUUUUGGAGUUGAGCUCGAUUGGAGUGUGAUUUAGAUGUGUCCGCUGGAUGACCCCAGCUUCCUGUCAUUCCAAGUUUUAGGUUGAUUCCUUGAAUUUGGUUGAUAAGAUGCUGGGCUCGGAUUAAAUGAUCAAGCAAUUGAUGAUUUGAUUUGAAGUUCUAGCAGAACCUUGACAACUGCAUAGGUGAGUCUGGAAAAAACAAAGCAUCUUACGGAUGCAUUGUUUUGAAUCUGAUCUUCCGCAAGGGAGAUUGGAUCUAGAACAAUGAAAAUUCUUUUGAGCAAGAGCCGAGACUCUUGAGCGUUCUUUGAUUCGUGUCGAGCGAAUCAGAGUUUGAUUUUGUUUUUAGCUUGAGUGAAAAUUCAAGCUGAAACCAUGAGAAUCUGCUUUCAACGGCGGUAAGCGUUCAGGAGGUUAAUU
rnacentral:tRNA from 1 species